CGCUUACGACUCCCGCCGCUGCCGCCACGAUAGGGGCCGUAUUCAUCAUCGUCGUCGUCCUCCUCUUCCUCCUCCUCGUCCUCCUCGGUCAUGUCGUCAAUGAAGCUCGAUCUGCUCCGCUUCUCACCAAAUCUCUUGCUUCAAAGGAGGCCAGGGAUCGCUAGGUUAAGUUUUGAGAUCGGUGAAUAAAGCGAGAGAGAGAGAGAGGAGGAAGUGGCAUGCGAAAGAAAAUCAGUUUUGGUCUAGAUCUGAUCUAAAGGAUUGAAUAGUCUUGUUUUCUGAUUUUUUUUUUUAAUUAUACAAGCGACGGCGUGACCAUACCGUCGCAAUAGAUGUAUAAUUAUGCGACGGUAAGGUUAUUUCCGUUGCAAAAAUUCUUCGAGAUGCGACGGUAAAAUAGUCGUAGCACAUGCCGUCGCAAAAGUUGACUUUUCGCGACGGAAAACGUUUCCGUCG
rnacentral:lncRNA from 1 species